UACGAAGGGGGCUAGCGUUGUUCGGAAUUACUGGGCGUAAAGCGCGCGCAGGCGGCUAUCCAAGUCAGUGGUGAAAGCCCGGAGCUCAACUCCGGAACUGCCUCUGAUACAGCACGUCUUGAGUUCGAGAGAGGUGGGUGGAAUUCCUAGUGUAGAGGUGAAAUUCGUAGAUAUUAGGAAGAACACCGGUGGCGAAGGCGGCCCACUGGCUCGAUACUGACGCUGAGGUGCGAAAGCGUGGGGAGCAAACAGG
rnacentral:rRNA from 1 species